rnacentral:lncRNA from 1 species
AGAGAUAGUAAAUGAUUUGCAUGCUUUAUCAAAGGUAACACCUGUUGGGCAUGAAAAACAUGACCAUUUUUCAGUGUCAGGAAUGGCAACAUCAUUCGACAUUUAUGUUUCUCCUUGAGAUAGCAAGGCUAGUAGGACGUUGAAGUAGCUAAAUAAUGGAAGGUGAAUGAAAUCAAACCCUGUGCUAUAGGCAGAAUUAAACUACAAGAUAAUAUUAUCAAUGGCAAAUGAUAGCCAUUAUUAGAUAAGAACUGCCAGAUAGCAGAAAUAAGAAAAUCCUCUUUGCAAUCAGGAGAAGCAGAGCCAAAUCAGCAGAGUAACACCUAUGUACCUCUGUUAUACUUCUGAAUAUUUAUAGUGAGCAUUUCAUUAAGCAAAUAAUUAGCAUAUUUGAAUAUUAUAACUGAUAUAGUUGGUUUCCAACUAUCAAAUAUUUUCUCCCGAUUCCUUUUUUUGUUGUUGAACUAGAUGUACUAUUCAUGCAAUCAUGCUCAUAACAAAAGAUACAUUAUUGUUCUAUUCUCUAAUUCACUAAGGUAAUGAAGAAAUUUCAAGUAAAAUAUGUUCUGUGAUCUAUUAUUUUUUUUAUUUUCCGGGUGAAACAUAACAUGCUAUGUGAUUGUUGAAUGCAUGGAUGCAAUCAAAACAUGGAUGCGCCAUUUUCGUGUCCCCUGUCUAUCAGAUUUUACUUGGUUGUGUGAUGUGAAAAUUCUGAAGAUGUUAUCAGUUUUCUACUAACUUCGAAUCUUAAUUCCAUUUGUUUGAAUGCAGGGGCACAUGUGCGGCUGUGGGCUGUGGCUAGACCAAUUUGUACUACUUGCUAGAAAGCAGCAACUACAAACAGACAAGGGAGGCGGCUAGACAGACCUGUAUGAUCGCAUCACUUGAGAUCAAGUAGAGUGAGUCCAAUAAAUAGCACUCGGGCUUGAAACGACAGAGGUGGAAUCCUGCGCUGGUAGCUCCAAGGCAACAACGCCGAUGGUCACCAAUUCCCACCUGAUGUCUAGAGUUUUGCCGCGAGGGCCACGCGCGAGGACGGAUGGCAAAACGGUGACAGGGAGCGGAGCCAAAGGUGGUCGCCGGCGCCCGGCGCCAACACUGCCGCCCCGCAAAGCCGUCAUUACCAUGCAACAGGUUGUACGCCAGACAUGACGAGCGCCGUCCAGGCUGAUAGUUGUUCAUCUCUCCCCAUGAUCUGUAAACAACAAGCAAUCCAACUAAGAAGCAAUCAAACCGAGCGAACAUGCAAACUGUAUGUACGCCCAAUGUUCAGAAGAUUUUUCUAUUGAUGUGACUCCUACCAGGCUACCACGGACCAGAGCACCUUCAGUUUGCAGAGUUGAACAACUAAAAUUUACAGCAAUUAAGUAGGAAAUCAAUUUACUACAUAAGUAUGAGAUACUAGAAGAAUUUGAAGAUUUUCCGUACCAUAGCUUGAGCGAUCAGAUCACAAUGGGCAGGGGAACGACGAAUCUGGGGUGGCUACCCUAGGCGGCACAGAUGUACUUCCGUGCUUGCUCUGCAUAUUCCACCUAUAGGUUGAAGACGAAGUUGUACGUCGCAGCAGAUGCUUCCUCCGAUCUGCCGCCCAAUCGCCGCCGCCGCCGCCCCCGGGGCAACCGCCGGCCGGUCUCUGUCCCCCAACCUCCGCCGCAUCCAAUCGCUCGCCGCCCACCGAGUCUCCCUCAGUCCGCCACCAAACGAAUCGAUCGCCGCUCCUGUGUGGAGGCGAUGCACAUCACCG